CAGGGAGAUGGUGUGCAAGCCCUCACGUUUUCAUCUUUUUUAAAGAUGGCAAGAGGGAAGCCUGAAGUCUUCAUCAGGAUACCCACCUGGUUUGACCAGGUUUAAAUUUCUUUUAUACACGGCAAAAGUGGGGCGGAA
rnacentral:sRNA from 1 species